rnacentral:rRNA from 1 species
UACGUAGGGUGCGAGCGUUGUCCGGAAUUAUUGGGCGUAAAGAGCUUGUAGGCGGUUUGUCGCGUCUGCUGUGAAAAUCCGGGGCUCAACCCCGGACUUGCAGUGGGUACGGGCAGACUAGAGUGUGGUAGGGGAGACUGGAAUUCCUGGUGUAGCGGUGAAAUGCGCAGAUAUCAGGAGGAACACCGAUGGCGAAGGCAGGCCUCUGGGCCACUACUGACGCUGAGAAGCGAAAGCAUGGGGAGCGAACAGG